GGGCACGUAGCUCAGUUGGUUAGAGCGUCACACUGAUAAUGUGAAGGUCGGUGGUUCAACUCCACCCGUGCCCACCA
rnacentral:tRNA from 1 species